UGUCUAUUAAUUGUAGACCUGUAUGAAAGGCAAAAUGAGGGUUUAACUGUCUCUUAUAAUAAAUCAAUUAAACUGAUCUCCCAGUAAAAAAGCUGGGAUACCCACAUAAGACCAGAAGACCCUGUGAAGCUUAAACUAAACUAUUAAACCCUAUAAUAAAUACUUUCGGUUGGGGCGACCUUGGAAAAAAAAAGAACUUCCAAACACAAUGAUUAUAACUCAUACUACACCCGGGCCAACAAGCCUACCAAAAGACCCAGCAUAGCUGAUAAUUGAACCAAGUUACUCCAGGGAUAACAGCGCUAUCUUCUUCAAGAGUCCAUAUCAAAAAGAAGGUUUACGACCUCGAUGUUGGAUCAGGACAUCCUAAUGGUGCA
rnacentral:rRNA from 1 species